rnacentral:rRNA from 1 species
UACGUAGGCAGCAAGCGUUGUUCAGAAUUACUGGGCGUAAAGAGUGUGUAGGCGGUGUUCUAAGUCUGUUGUGAAAUCUCCCGGCUUAACUGGGAGGGUGCGGCGGAAACUGGAAUGCUAGAGGAUGGGAGAGGUAAGCGGAAUUCCUGGUGUAGCGGUGAAAUGCGUAGAUAUCAGGAGGAACACCUGUGGUGUAGACAGCUUACUGGACCAUUUCUGACGCUGAGACACGAAAGCGUGGGUAGCAAACAGG